GAUGAACGCUAGCGGCAGGCUUAAUACAUGCAAGUCGUGGGGCAGCGCAGGUAGCAAUACUGGGCGGCGACCGGCAAACGGGUGCGGAACACGUACACAACCUUCCUACAAGUGGGGAAUAGCCGAGAGAAAUUUGGAUUAAUACCCCGUAACAUAAAGAUGUGGCAUCACAUUGUUAUUAUAGCUUCGGCGCUUGUUGAUGGGUGUGUGGCUGAUUAGAUAGUUGGCGGGGUAACGGCCCACCAAGUCUACGGUCAGUAGCUGAUGUGAGAGCAUGAUCAGCCACACGGGCACUGAGACACGGGCCCGACUCCUACGGGAGGCAGCAGUAAGGAAUAUUGGUAAAUGGACGAAAGUCUGAACCAGCCAUGCCGCGUGAAGGAUUAAGGUCCUCUGGAUUGUAAACUUCUUUUAUCUGGGACGAAAAAAGGCGAUUCUUCGUCACUUGACGGUACCAGAUGAAUAAGCACCGGCUAACUCCGUGCCAGCCGCCGCGGUAAGAC
rnacentral:rRNA from 1 species